rnacentral:lncRNA from 1 species
GCAGGGAGGGUAGAAAGGACUGCCAAGCAGAGAAAGAAACAUGAAUCAGAACCAGCUAAUACAGGAUGGGAGAGUACAUGUGCCAUUAUCAAACACACAGAGGAGUGAAUAAGAAGCAAAGGAUAUUGCCACGGUUUCUACGGGACUGAACAAAGGGGGACCCACACAGGAAUGAAAACUUAAAACAAAACAGCCACUAAGGAAGGCGCAGAGGGACUUCCUUUCGGCCCGAAACAGUAUCUGUGCUGCCAAAAACAGUAAGCUAACAGAUAAUACCACAAUGAAUAACCUG